GGCCAUAGCUAAAUGGUAGAGCACCCGCUUUGCAUGCAGAAGGUACCGGGUUCAAUCCCUGGCAUCUCCA